UUAAAAUCCUGUGUCCCGAAAGGGACGUACCGGUUCGAGUCCGGUCCCGGGCACGAUUGCCCAAUGUUUGGGUAAGGUCCUGCGCAACGGGAUGUUGCUGAACCCCGCCAGGCCCGGAAGGGAGCAACGGUAGGCAAUCAAUCUCGUGUGACGCAGGGGUGCCUGCCCAUUCAUUGGGCUUUAUUUUUAA
rnacentral:misc_RNA from 1 species